GGGCGUGGUACCUCAGUGGCAGAGCACCUGCUUUGCAUGCAGAUGAUCCCAGGUUCAACCCCUGGCACCCCCC